GAAAAUGCUUAAAUACCCUGCACACCAGAUCCCAUCUGAUCUUGGAAGCUAAGCAGGAUCAGCCCUGGUUAGUACUUGGAUAGGAGACCCCCAAGGAAUACCAGGUACUGUAGGCU
rnacentral:rRNA from 1 species